UCCGUAGGGUGAACCUGCGGAGGGAUCAUUACCGAGUUUACAACUCCCAAACCCCUGUGAACAUACCAAUUGUUGCCUCGGCGGAUCAGCCCGCUCCCGGUAAAACGGGACGGCCCGCCAGAGGACCCCUAAACUCUGUUUCUAUAUGUAACUUCUGAGUAAAACCAUAAAUAAAUCAAAACUUUCAACAACGGAUCUCUUGGUUCUGGCAUCGAUGAAGAACGCAGCAAAAUGCGAUAAGUAAUGUGAAUUGCAGAAUUCAGUGAAUCAUCGAAUCUUUGAACGCACAUUGCGCCCGCCAGUAUUCUGGCGGGCAUGCCUGUUCGAGCGUCAUUUCAACCCUCAAGCCCCCGGGUUUGGUGUUGGGGAUCGGCGAGCCCUUGCGGCAAGCCGGCCCCGAAAUCUAGUGGCGGUCUCGCUGCAGCUUCCAUUGCGUAGUAGUAAAACCCUCGCAACUGGUACGCGGCGCGGCCAAGCCGUUAAACCCCCAACUUCUGAAUGUUGACCUCGGAUCAGGUAGGAAUACCCGCUGAACUUAAGCAUAUCAAUAAGCGGAGGA
rnacentral:rRNA from 1 species